rnacentral:rRNA from 1 species
CCUACGGGAGGCUGCAGUGAGGAAUAUUGGUCAAUGGACGGAAGUCUGAACCAGCCAUGUCGCGUGCAGGAUGACGGCUCUAUGAGUUGUAAACUGCUUUUGUAUGGGGGUAAAACUGAAUACGUGUAUUCAGCUGUAUGUACUAUAUGAAUAAGGAUCGGCUAACUCCGUGCCAGCAGCCGCGGUAAUACGGAGGAUCCAAGCGUUAUCCGGAUUUAUUGGGUUUAAAGGGUGCGUAGGCGGAUUGUUAAGUUAGAGGUGAAAUGUCCGAGCUUAACUCGGGAACUGCAUUUAAUACUGUUGAUCUAGAGAGUAGAUGCGGUAGGCGGAAUGUAUGGUGUAGCGGUGAAAUGCUUAGAGAUCAUACAGAACACCGAUUGCGAAGGCAGCUUACCAAUCUAUAUCUGACGUUGAGGCACGAAAGCGUGGGGAUCAAACAGGAUUAGAUACCCGUGUAGUC